rnacentral:tRNA from 1 species
GGGCUGGGGCUUAGUGGAAGAGUGCUUCCCUAGCAUGCAUGAGACACUGGGUUCGAUCCUCAGCACCACA